GCCGACCGACCUGCGGAUCACACCAACAUUAUCAGUCGACAGAUCGCACCAUUAUGCCCCUGAUGGAGGGGAACUCUGGAUGUGCCUGGAGGGAAUCGAAAAUGGUCGCAGUAUGCGUGAAUCUGCAGAUGCACCUCAAGCUAGGGGAAAGCGAAAGGUCACAGAUGUCUGCAUGUGGCAGGGAGAUUUGAAGGUGAGGGAUCGCGGAGGGAUCGCGGAGGAAAAGGAAAUAAAAAUGUUGCUGACGUCUGUUGUAUAACAACGACUCAGAACAAAGAACCCUCUUAGCAACGGACAUCUGGGACAGAAUAUCUGCGAUAAUAAAGCAGCAACUGAAUCCCUCACUCCUACAUGCCUCUCAAAGCCUUGGAUAUGCCUCGAUUCAUCAUUUCUAGUAAGAAAAUUGCAUUGCACACAUGUCAAAAGCGUGAAACGGUGCAGAUUGGGAAUCAAAGGAUUGAUAGAGGCACAUUGUCAGUUACACGUGAAGAUGCAUGGACUGAAAAAUACAGAAAAACCAAGGUCAGUUAUGCAACUACCAGAUUAUGUUUCACGCCUCCUGUGAAUAAUCACAACAAUCAGCAUCACAAUCUCACUAUUAUUGAGCAAACUGUUUACCCCAUUUAUCAUGAUUGAUUGAUGCAUGAUUUUGAGCCUUGGAGGUUAGGGUGAGCAUGAUUUGUGUACAAUGUGAUGGGCCAUUGCUCACUGCAAUACCAACAUGACAAUGAAUAGCUUAAUGAAGACGACUUAUUAUACAUGUAAAUAAAGAUAUAGAGAAAUCUGUGGCAGCUCGCCAUUACACAGCCCCGGUCUUUAAGCAAACCUUUGCAAAGUCUUUUGAGAAAGCUAUUAACUGAACUAUGAUGCUUGUCACCCUGCAUUUGAUCAAUGCUUGGAUUUUAAAGCCUCUUUUAAAAUGUCACAUCUACUUAAUAUCACAUUAUUCAACAGAUAG